CAGGCGUGGGUCCUCUGUGGCCCGCCGGAUCCCCAGGGAACAGUCAGUCCCAGGUUAUCCGCUGAGAGGGGGAGCUGAGUCUCUCCGCCCCAGAGGGGGCGGGCGCACUUUCUGUAGAGCAACUUCGCGGACUUCCGGUUUAAGCCGGAAGUUGUGGUUACCAAGGCGACGCAACGCCGCCCGGCCAGCUUUUCAGUUUCAUAGAGGUUCCCAGUGCCACCUUCUGUGAUGUCAUUCCCAAGAGGAAGUCAGACCCAGAAGAUAAAGCGCCCCAUUGGUACACGAAAGGGACCAUUGGAGUUGCCACCCCCAACAGAGAAGGACUGGCCUAAAGACGAUGAACAGGAUCAUGUCCUCGUGGAUCCAGAUGAGGAGCUGGAUUCCUUGCCUCAGCCUUAUCGAAUGAUCAACAAGCUGGUAAACCUUCUGUUUGAGCAGUCUUGGGAAAUUAUUGAAGAGAGGAACGCACUGAGGGAAGCUGAGAGCAGCCAGAUCCAGCCCACCGUCUACCCUCCACUUGGAGAAAUCCAGCUCAACAAAAUGCCAAAUUGUAUGGCUGUUUCCCAAGACUAUGUGUUUAUUGGAGGAGCCAAAGGAUUCUCAAUUUAUAAUCUGUACAGUGCUAAACAAAUAUAUGCGUGGGAGAAGCUUAAGGUUGAUGUCACUUCCAUCUGGGCCACAGAUUUGGGGAAUGAAAUACUUAUUGCUCCUGUGGAUGAAAUGGGUAUCAUUAGACUCUUUUAUUUUUAUAAGGAAGGUCUUUACCUAGUCAAAGCCAUCAAUGAAGUGGAUGAUACCAGCAAGCAAACUACCUGUAUAAAGAUGGAGAUCUCUCAAGGAGGGGACUUUGCAGCCUUCCUCCUACAAGGAGCCGGAGAUAUUUGGCUGGAUGUGUAUAAAUUGCCCAAGGAGACUUGGCUCAAGAAACUAGAGCACCCCCAACUCACUUCAAAUCCUAAGAAAAAAGUCAGACAGCCGCAACUGAACACCCUUGGUCCCAUUUCUGCAGAUCCUUUAGAAAUGGAUGCAAAUGUUAGUUUUAAAGGAGACAUUAAAUUGAGUCUUCCAGUUUACAUAAUGAAGAUCAAACCACCUAAGCCUGUUACAGGCACCACAUUCAAAAGCCCCCUGGAAGUCUUUGCAAAGAUCAAGGACUGCUACGGACUGGGCUCCGGGCAGAAUCAUUUCAUCAAGGACAGUCAGUGGGAGCAGCAAGCUGAGAUCUUCAACGCUUCCUACAAGAAGUACCUAGAUAAGGAGUGGGAGGAGGAGCCACUCAGUACGGCCACCUUCUAUUUCCUUCUUCCUAGCUGCCUAUUUGCAAUGCCAACGGAAGUCAAGGGCCCCUCAGGAAUGGCCUGUGUCCUUGGUAUACACUGGACCAGAAGUCACAAUUUCUUCCUGUAUUCACUAAACCGAACUCUAAAGGAUAAAGCUGACCCCGAGGGUGUGUGGCCCUGUGCUGCGCCCAUUGCAGUCUCUCAGCUCAGCUGCUCCUCCUCCUACCUGGUGCUGGCCUGCGAGGAUGGUGUGCUCACGCUGUGGGACCUGGCCAAAGGAUUCCCUCUUGGGGUCGCUGCUCUUCCUCAGGGAUGUUUCUGCCAAAGCAUUCACUUCCUAAAAUAUUUCUUGGUCCACAAAGGACAGAAUAUGUAUCCUGAAGGUCCAGUGAAAUCCCAAAUGAAAUGUGUGGUGCUGUGCACAGACGCCUCCCUCCAUCUGGUGGAGGCUAGCGGGACCCAAGGACCCACCAUCAGUGUGCUUGUUGAGAGGCCUGUAAAGCACCUGGAUAAAACCAUCUGUGCCGUGGCCCCAGUCCCAGCCUUACCUGGCAUGGUGCUCAUCUUUUCCAAGAAUGGCUCUGUGUGCCUUAUGGAUGUGGCCAAGCGUGAAAUCAUCUGUGCCUUUGCCCCUCCGGGAGCCUUUCCUCUGGAGGUCCCCUGGAAGCCAGUGUUUGCUGUGUCUCCAGACCAUCCAUGUUUCCUGCUCCGAGGCCAAAGGGUACCGCAGCUCAGUCCUCACAGGGCACUUCGAUAAAAUGCCAGCAGGGUCUUCUCUCUGAAGUCACAGCUCAACCCAGAUGACCCAGCCUUUAUAAGCAGAGAGCAGCCCCCACCUGCUCACCUGGACCAGAGCCCACUGAGAAAGCGAUUGUUACACAGAACAUGGUGUUCUUGUCUCGUCACAGGAGACUAUUCACAUGAAACUGCGUCCACCGACGAUGCUGGAAUCCAAUAUUCUGUUUUCUAUUUUAAUUUUGAGGCCUGCCCACUCCUGGAAAAUAUCUCAAAAAAUUGCACCAUUCCUCAAAGGGACUUGGAUAACAUGGCCUUCCCCCAAGCACUGCCACUGGAGAAAAGAUGUGAGCGUUUCCUCCAGAAGAGUUAUCGGAAGCUGGAGAAGAACCCAGAGAAGGAGGAGGAGCACUGGGCCCGGCUUCAGAGGUACUCCUUGUCGCUCCAGAGAGAGAACUUCAAGAAGUGAGGCUGCCACCGCCCCAGGAUCUUUGAAAAGGAGGUUUCAGCCACGAGGCAGCUGCUCCCAGGACACUGAGGCCAAGAGAAAUGUAACAGAGCCACAGCUCCACAGGCCUGCACUCGGAGUCUGGGGCCUCUGCAGAGCCAGCAAGGGGAAAAGUAUAAUCUGGGGGACCUUCAACCACUAAGCCUCUUGUCAGAGCCCUCAGGCAGGCAGAUGUGUCACCCAAAUAAACAGUGAUAUUGUCUCCAGACUCCC